rnacentral:lncRNA from 1 species
CAACAUGAUGGACCCUAAGGACAUUAUGGCUGGAAAUCUGAUGAGACAGUAGCCCAGCCUCAACCAGAGGUGAAGUGGACACUCUAGGGAUGGUGCAGAAACAAGCUGGAAGCAAGCUGGGGUGGCUGGUGGAGCAGAGCACCCCCACCCCACCCCGCACUAACCAGAGUGUCAGGAAAGAGAGAAAGAAAGCUGACUGACGUGGAGAAACUGAGGCUGAGAGAGAUUAAGCUUCUUGCCUACGGUACCACAGUAAAUAGUGGAAGAGAAGUCCCCAUGAACGGAAGGUGAAGCACUUCCAUUUUGUCCUCACCACAAACGUCUCCAGUGUGUAAAGUCAUUACUCCCAGCUCACAGGAGAAGAAACCCAAGCUUAGGACGGUCAAGGAGCUUGUCCACAGACGCACGGCCAAUGGUCCGACCUGGAGCCUGUGCUCUCAGCCUCUCCCCCAGCUUCCCUCUCUCCUUGAGCUUCUCAAGGCCUUCACUUGCUUAUCUGAAACCUGGGAAGAAAGCUGGCACCUUCUUCCCUCCGGUGGCCUGCGGCUCAGCCGGCGGGAUGCGCUGUUGGCUGUGAGCGGCCUUGCAGAGACGGGGGCAUCCUCCCUGCUGUGGCUUCGAGGGCAGCGUCAUCACAAAGGCCCUUAGCACGGACGCUUGAGAAAGGCUGAUUCCAGCGCGAAGUGAGGACAGUCUCUCCACAGCAAGUGCUCCUGAGAGAGCUGGGCUCCCUCUGAGGUGGGAAGCCG